AGUGAACGCUGGCGGCGUGCUUAACACAUGCAAGUCGAACGAGAACGGAUUAUAGCUUGCUAUAAUUGUCAGCUAAGUGGCGCACGGGUGAGUAAUGUAUAGGUAAUAUGCCUCUUACUAAGGGAUAACAAAUGGAAACGUUUGCUAAUACCUUAUACUCCUUAUUAACAGAAGUUAAUAAGGGAAAGAUUAUUGGUAAGAGAUUAGCCUGUAUUGUAUCAGUUAGUUGGUGGGGUAAUGGCUUACCAAGACUAUGACACAUAACUGGUUUGAGAGGAUGAUCAGUCACACUGGAACUGGGACACGGUCCAGACUCCUACGGGAGGCAGCAGUGGGGAAUAUUGCACAAUGGACGAAAGUCUGAUGCAGCAACGCCGCGUGGAGGAUGACACAUUUCGGUGCGUAAACUCCUUUUAUAUGAGAAGAUAAUGACGGUAUUAUAUGAAUAAGCACCGGCUAACUCCGUGCCAGCAGCCGCCGUAACAC
rnacentral:rRNA from 1 species